rnacentral:rRNA from 1 species
UACGGGGGGGGGGCAAGCGUUUGUUCGGAAUUACUGGGCGUAAAGGGCUCGUAGGCGGCCAACUAAGUCAGACGUGAAAUCCCCUCGGCUUAACCGGGGAACUGCGUCUGAUACUGGAUGGCUUGAGUUUGGGAGAGGGAUGCGGAAUUCCAGGUGUAGCGGUGAAAUGCGUAGAUAUCUGGAAGAACACCCGUGGCGAAGGCGGUUCUCUGGGACGGUACUGACGCUGAGACGCGAAAGCGUGGGGAGCGAACAGG